rnacentral:rRNA from 1 species
AAUAGAUACCCAGGUAGUCCACGCCGUAAACGAUGGAUACUAGCUGUUUGAGCGCAAGUUUGAGUGGCUAAGCGAAAGUGAUAAGUAUCCCACCUGGGGAGUACGGGCGCAAGCCUGAAACUCAAAGGAAUUGACGGGGGCCCGCACAAGCGGUGGAGCAUGUGGUUUAAUUCGAUGAUACGCGAGGAACCUUACCAGGGCUUAAAUGUAGAUUGACGUAUUUGGAAACAGAUAUUUCUUCGGACAAUUUACAAGGUGCUGCAUGGUUGUCGUCAGCUCGUGCCGUGAGGUGUCAGGUUAAGUCCUAUAACGAGCGCAACCCCUGUUGUUAGUUGCCAGCGAGUAAUGUCGGGAACUCUAGCAAGACUGCCAGUGUAAACUGUGAGGAAGGUGGGGAUGACGUCAAAUCAUCACGGCCCUUACGUCCUGGGCCACACACGUGCUACAAUGGCCGGUACAGAGGGCAGCCACUUAGCGAUAAGGAGCGAAUCUAUAAAGCCGGUCACAGUUCGGAUCGGAGU